UACGUAGGGUGCAGGCGUUAAUCGGAAUUACUGGGCGUAAAGCGUGCGCAGGCGGUUUCUUAAGUCAGAUGUGAAAGCCCCGGGCUUAACCUGGGAACUGCGUUUGAAACUGGGAGACUUGAGUGUGGGCAGAGGGGGGUGGAAUUCCACGUGGUAGCAGUGAAAUGCGUAGAUAUGUCGGAGGAACACCGAUGGCGAAGG
rnacentral:rRNA from 1 species